GCGGCGCUGAGGCGCAGGCGCAGUGGGGGCCGCGCAGCGCCGUGCCGCCAUCCCGUCAGUGUCGGCGGGCAGCGGGGCCGAGCAUGUCGGAAAAAAAGCAGCCGGUGGACCUGGGGCUCCUGGAGGAAGACGACGAGUUCGAGGAGUUUCCGGCUGAAGAUUGGACUGGUUUAGAUGAAGAUGAAGAUGCACAUGUUUGGGAAGACAACUGGGAUGACGACAACGUAGAAGAUGAUUUCUCCAAUCAGUUAAGAGCUGAACUAGAAAAACACGGAUACAAGAUGGAAACUUCAUAGCUUUUGCUGAUAUGGAGUGGUGUAACACUGAACUUUGGACAGACUAUACUGAGAAACGGUGGAAAAUGAGAAGACGCUUAGUUCAUUAUCUGCUUGAAUUUAUUAUUGUUUUGUAUGGAAAAUAAAGUUUUUAAUCUUAGCCCGA